rnacentral:misc_RNA from 1 species
CAGCUGCAUCAACGAUACCAUAAUUUCCACUUGGGGUUGGAGUUUGACUCGUCAAAAGCUGCUUACAGCUACAAUGGAUCAAUUAGCCAGACUGUCUCCAUUUCAUCAAUGGAUGUUGGAGUGGUGCCUGAUUCAACAAUGAGUGAGACAUCGAUCUUACACUCGAGACCUCCAAAAGGGACUAUUGACCUUUUCUCCAGUCCUCCCAUGCAGAU